CCUACGGGGGGCAGCAGUGGGGAAUAUUGGACAAUGGGGGGAACCCUGAUCCAGCCAUGCCGCGUGUGUGAAGAAGGCCCUCGGGUUGUAAAGCACUUUCAGUGAGGAAGAACGCCUGGUGGUUAAUACCCAUCAGGAAAGACAUCACUCACAGAAGAAGCACCGGCUAACUCCGUGCCAGCAGCCGCGGUAAUACGGAGGGUGCGAGCGUUAAUCGGAAUUACUGGGCGUAAAGCGCGCGUAGGUGGCGUGAUAAGCCGGUUGUGAAAGCCCCGGGCUCAACCUGGGAACGGCAUCCGGAACUGUCAAGCUAGAGUGCAGGAGAGGAAGGUAGAAUUCCCGGUGUAGCGGUGAAAUGCGUAGAGAUCGGGAGGAAUACCAGUGGCGAAGGCGGCCUUCUGGACUGACACUGACACUGAGGUGCGAAAGCGUGGGUAGCAAACAGGAUUAGAUACCCGAGUAGUC
rnacentral:rRNA from 1 species